UACUGGCUCAGGAUUAACGCUGGCGGCGUGCCUAAUACAUGCAAGUCGAAUGGUAGCAAUACCGAUGGCGAACGGGUGAGUAACACGUAGGUAACCCUGUCUUUUAAGCCGAGGAUAACCAUUGGAAACGAUGGAUAAUACUGGAUAGGACAUUUGAAGGCAUCUUUAGAUGUUUUAAAGAUUUAUCACUUAGAGAGGGGCCUGCGGCGCAUUAGCUAGUUGGUGAGGUGAAGGCUUACCAAGGCGAUGAUGCGUAGCCGGACUGAGAGGUUGAACGGCCACAAUGGAACUGAGAACGGUCCAUACUCCUACGGGAGGCAGCAGUAGGGAAUUUUCGGCAAUGGGCGGAAGCCUGACCGAGCAACGCCGCGUGAACGAAGAAGUAUUUCGGUAUGUAAAGUUCUUUUAUUAGGGACGAAAAGACAGAUUGACGGUACCUAAUGAAUAAGCUCCGGCUAACUACGUGCCAGCCGCGGC
rnacentral:rRNA from 1 species